rnacentral:lncRNA from 1 species
AAAAUUUCUUCACAAAUGUGUUGAUGGCUGGACAUUGCAUCAUCCUAAAAAACUUGGAGGCCAGUAUGGAAAAAAAUAAAAAGUUAUAACACUUUUAAGAAUGUGGAUUUUUGGGUUAUAUUUGGUGCCCCCUAGAACCCAAACCGUGGGGUGCAGCAAGAUGAUUUGUACAACUUUUAAUGGCCAUGGGGUGUAGAUUGGCCUGAGCAAAUUUGGUGCCGGUGGAAAGAUAGCCUUCGGAGGAGUUAGUGAAAUUCCAAUGUGUGCGGAUCAGCAAAAAAUGCAAAAUAGCCCUUUAACCGUACAUUUGACAGAUACAUGCCCUUUGACUUUUUCGUAGAUCUUAUUGAGAUACACGUGAUUGUCAAAUUUUGUGUCAAUAUGACAAAGCAUACAGGCGUGACACUCGACAAUGUGUAUUUUGACCUUUGGAGACAAGAAAAAAUGGACCUUUUUCUCCUGCCAUUGGGGGGCGCUCUUUUGGGGAGUAAAAAUUCCUUCACAAAUGUGUUGAUGGCUGGACAUUGCAUCAUCCUAGAAAACUUGGAGGCCAGUGAGGACAAAAGUAAAAAGUUAUAACACUUUUAAGAAUGUGGAUUUUUGGGUUAUCUUUGGCGCCCCCUAGAACAUAAACCGUGGGGUGCAGCGUCAUGAUUUGUACAACUUUUAAUGGCCAUGGGGUGUAGAUUGGCCUGCGCAAAUGUGGUGCCGGUCGAACGAAAGCCUUCGGAGGAGUUAGCGAAAUUCCAAUGUGUGCAGAUCUGCAAAAAAUGAAAAAUAACCCAUUAACCGUACAUUUGACAGAUACGCCCACACUGACUUUUUUGUAGAUCUUAUUGAGAUACACGUGUGUGUCAAUUUUUGUGUCAAUAUGACAAAGCGUACAGCCGUCAUGUGAAUUUUCACCUUAGGGGGCGCUAUGGAGCCAUUUUGCAUUUUAUUGUUUGGGCGACUUCAGAAUAUCGAAUUUUUCACCAGGCCCGGUCGUCCUGCCAAAUUUCCUGAGUUUUCGCCAGUGGGAAGUGGGCCAUUUUCCAGUUUAAAGCGGAGGAAAAAUAAUAACGAACUAGGGCCCCGUUGGGGCACUGGCGGGCCCGAGCCGUGUCGCGCCGCCCCCAGCGCGACCGCCUACCCCUCCCGAUCGCGUCACACUCAAGGUCCAAAGAUGGUGUGCGCACUUGUCUGUGGUCAUUUACCAUUAUAAUGAAUGGGAGGCGCAGUUUCUACCAAAACGCUCGCUGCAGACAAACUCCAUGUCCUUUUUGAAAAAAGUCUGGACCAUGAGUGAGGGCACAAACACAGCUAGUAUAUAUCCAAAUGGCAAGUUGCUCCUCCUUUCGGUUUUGCCGAGAGAGCGAUGCGUUUGAGCCAUUGAGCGAUGGGCAGGAAAAACUUGACUUUUUCUCCUGCCAUGGGGGGGCGCUCUUUUGGGGAGAAAAAAUUCCUUCACAAAUGUGUUGAUGGCUGGACAUUGCAUCAUCCUAGAAAACUUGGAGGCCAGUGAGGACAAAAAUAAAAAGUUAUAAGACUUUUAAAAAUGUGGAUAUUUGGGUCCUCUUUGGCGCCCCCUAGAACGUAAACUGUGGGGUGCAGCGUCAUGAUUUGUACAACUUUGAAUGGCCAUGGGGUGUAGAUUGACCUGAGCAAAUUUGAAGCCGAUGGGACAAAAGAUUUAGGAGGAGUUAGCCACAUUCCAAUGUGUGCGAAUCGGCAAAAAAUGCGAAAUAGCCCUUUAACCGUACAUUGAACAGAUACGCUCGCAUUGACUUUUUCGUAGAUCUUAUUGAGAUACAUGUGUGUGUCAAAUUUUGUGUCAUUUUGACAAAGCGUAAAGGCGUGACAGUCAACAAUGUGUAUUUUCGCCUUAGGAGACAAGAAAAAAUGGACUUUUUUCUCCUGCCAUGGGGGGGCGCUCUUUUGGCGAGUAAAAAUUCCUUCACAAAUGUGUUGAUGGCUGGACAUUGCAUCAUCCUAGAGAACUUGGAGGCCAGUGAGGACAAAAAUAAAAAGUUAUAAGACUUUUAAGACUGUGGAUUUUUGGGUUAUCUUUGGCGCCCCCUAGAACGUAAACCGUGGGGUGCAGCGUCAUGAUUUGUACAACUUUUAAUGGCCAUGGGGUGUAGAUUGGCCUGAGCAAAUGUGGUGCCUUUGGAACGAAAGCCUUCGGAGGAGUUAGCGAAAUUCCAAUGUGUGCGGAUCGGCAAAAAAUGCGAAAUAGCCCUUUAACCGUACAUUUGACAGAUACGCUCGCACUGACUUUUUUGUAGAUCUUAUUGAGAUACAUGUGUGUGUCAAUUUUUGUGUCAAUAUGACAAAGCGUAAAGGCGUGACAGUCAAUAGUGUGAAUUUUCGCCUUAGGAGACAAGAAAAAAUGGACUUUUUUCUCCUGCCAUGGGGGGGCGCUCUUUUGGCGAGUAAAAAUUCCUUCACAAAUGUGUUGAUGGCUGGACAUUGCAUCAUCCUAGAGAACUUGGAGGCCAGUGAGGACAAAAAUAAAAAGUUAUAAGACUUUUAAGACUGUGGAUUUUUGGGUUAUCUUUGGCGCCCCCUAGAACGUAAACCGUGGGGUGCAGCGUCAUGAUUUGUACAACUUUUAAUGGUCAUGGGGUGUAGAUUGGCCUGAGCAAAUGUGGUGCCGGUGGAACGAAAGCCUUCGGAGGAGUUAGCGAAAUUCCAAUGUGUGCGGAUCGGCAAAAAAUGCGAAAUAACCCUUUAACCGUACAUUUGACAGAUACGCUCGCACUGACUUUUUUGUAGAUCUUAUUGAGAUACAUGUGUGUGUCAAUUUUUGUGUCAAUAUGACAAAGCGUAAAGGCGUGACAGUCAAUAGUGUGAAUUUUCACCUUAGGGGGCGCUAUGGAGCCAUUUUGCAUUUUAUUGUUUGGGCGACUUCAGAAUAUCGAAUUUUUCACCAGGCCCAUUCGUCCUGCCAAAUUUCAUGAGUUUUCGCCAGUGGGAAGUGGGCCAUUUUCCCCUUCAAAGGGGAGGAAAAAUAAGAAGAAAGAAAGAAAGAAAGAAAGAAAGAAAGAAAGAAGAAAGAAAAACCUAUACAGGAAUAAUAGGGCUCUACGCCCGGCUGCUCUGCAGCUGGCUCGGGCCCUAACUAGGACCCCGUUGGGGCACUGGCGGGCCCGAGCCGUGUCACGUCUCCCCCCCCCUUUGAGCCCCUGCUACUGUAUAAUCAUGUGCAUGUCUCUGUUCUAGCUCCAAGGUGAAUCUUCACUGCUCAUGUUCUCCUCAGAAGCAGUCACCUCACUCCCCUCAGGUUACUGUACACAUGCACCAACUGCCUGCUUCAGGUUUGGAUGGAGCUUCAUGGUUGUCUUUUGGAGAAAUGACCAGUCAAGUUGUGUUUGAAAUUUGAUUUUUUUCAGGGGCAAAAGGAGCCUCUGCAUUCUUGUCAAAUAUGUAAAUAGCAUGUUUUUGCAGGUGCUAAAAACCAGACUCUGAGUGUGUGUGUGUGUGUGUGUGUGUGUGUGCGCGUGCGUGUGUGUGUGUCUAUGUGUGCGUUCAAGUCACAUGACAUAUUUAACCGGAUGUAGCUGCAAGACGGAGCCUCGUUGACUCUCCGUUUCAACUUAUCUCAAAAGUGAGGACCUCAACCUAUAUACCAGUUUUUAAAUUGUGUUGAUAGGCCAAAUAAAACCAGAGUUAUGAUAAAUUAUGUCCGCGAUACUUUUUUUCUGCUUAUUUUGAUCAUGUUCGGCGCUCGAUCGCGCUGUAUGAGACAGGAAAACAUAGCAUGUAGACAUUAGCGACAGGUCUUACAGGCGGAAAAGGCUUGCCAAAAGAAAAAAAAAACACACCACAACAUCUCUCCUAUUGGUGGAAAACUUCACCACAACAACCAAUCCAAAAUUAUAUGGUGACUGAUUGACAAGGGGCGGGCGCUUACGUUCUUCCUGCAACAUGAGAAGGGAGGGAGGGACUCUCAGCAGGGAUGCAGUCUGGGACACGUAGUUGCAAACCUAGCAACUUUGUUGUUAGAUUCAAUGACUUUUCAGACCCCCUAACGACUUUUUUUUAGAAAGAAAGGGACUUUUAUCGACUUCUUCUGGAGUUUAGAGACUCUGACAUGAAGCAGGCUUUCCUUACUGAGGAGUUAGCAACGCUGCUAAGGGUGCAGAGCUACACAUGCGCUCAGAGCUCUGCAUGGGAGACUGAAGCUGACAGAGCUGCAGCAGUUAGCAGGUUUCACCCUCAGAGACCACCAGGGGUUCAUGUUGAGGCAUUUUAAAUUUUUUUUUUUUUUUUGUGCCAUAGACACUGUCAGCACAAUCUGCAGUUACACUAACAAAAAUGCUGCAAAAAACAAAGAAUUAUGGAAAAAUUACACAUGGACUGACAUAGAGGAGGAUCUACACAAGUUUUUUACAUCAUGUUUUACAUCAUGCAUCAUUUACAUCAUGUUUUUUUGUAGUGGCAUAAAUAAAAAGUGACAUUUGUGAGACUAUACAGUGUUUUGUAAAUAAUUUUACAAAGAACGCCUGGGCCAUUGCCUGCAUUUUGAUGUAAAUAGAGGUAAAUUACUAUGUUCUUUGUUAAAAAUUUGCAUAUGUUUUGAAGUUUACAAUUUUUAUUUGAAGUUUAAGUUUUAAAAACAGUUCAUCACACAUAUUUGUGGUUUAAUUUCACAUUAAUUUCCAUAUUGUAUAAAUGACUGGAAAAAACUUGAGCCCCUGCCCCUGUAUAAUCAUGUGCACGUCCCUGUUCUAGCUCCAAGGUGAAUCUUACUGCUCAUGUUCUCCUCAGAAAUAGUCACCUCACUCCCCUCAGGUUACUGUACACAUGCACCAACUAUCUGCUUCAGGUUUGAAAUGGAGCUUCAUGGUUGUCUUUUGGAGAAAUGAACAGUCAAGUUGUGUUUGAAAUUUGAUUUUUUUCAGGGGCAAAAGGAAGCCUCUGCAUUCUUGUCAAAUAUGUAAACAGCAUGUUUUUGAAGGUGCUAAAAACCAGACUCUGAGUGUGUGUGUGUGUGUCUGUGUGUGUGUGUGUGUGUGUGUAUGUUGGCGUGUGUGUAUAUGUGUGUGUAUCCUGCAGUACUCUGUACUCCUGCAGUGGCCAAAAAGACUUUUAAGAAUGUGGAUUUUUGGGUCAUCUUUGGCGCCCCCUAGAACUGCAGUACUCUGUACUCCUGCAGUGGCCAAAAUGACUUUUAAGAAUGUGGAUUUUUGGGUCAUCUUUGGCGCCCCCUAGAACGUAAACCGUGGGGUGCAGCGUCAUGAUUUUUACAACUUUGAAUGGGCAUGGGGUGUAGAUUGCCCUGAGCAAAUUUGGUAUCGGUGGGACGAAAGCCUUAGGAGGAGAUAGCCACAUUCCAAUGUGUGCGAAUCGGCAAAAAAUGCAAAAUAGCCCUUUAACCGUACAUUAUACAGAUACGCGCUCUUUGACUUUUUCGUAGAUCUAAUUGAGAUACACAUGAUUGUCAAUUUUUUUGUCAAUAUGACAAAGCGUAAAGGCGUGACACUCAACAACGUGUAUUUUCACCUUUCGGGAUAAGAAAAAAUGGACUUUUUUCUCCUGCCAUGGGGGGCGCUCUUUUGGGGAGUAAAAAUUUCUUCACAAAUGUGUUGAUGGCUGGACAUUGCAUCAUCCUAAAAAACUUGGAGGCCAGUAUGGAAAAAAAUAAAAAGUUAUAAGACUUUUAAGAAUGUGGAUUUUUGGGUUAUAUUUGGUGCCCCCUAGAACCCAAAACGUGGGGUGCAGCAAGAUGAUUUGUACAACUUUUAAUGGCCAUGGGGUGUAGAUUGGCCUGAGCAAAUUUGGUGCCGGUGGAAAGAUAGCCUUCGGAGGAGUUAGUGAAAUUCCAAUGUGUGCGGAUCGGCAAAAAAUGCAAAAUAGCCCUUUAACCGUACAUUUGACAGAUACAUGCCCUUUGACUUUUUCGUAGAUCUUAUUGAGAUACAUGUGAUUGUCAAAUUUUGUGUCAAUAUGACAAAGCAUACAAACGUGACACUCGACAAUGUGUAUUUUGACCUUUGGAGACAAGAAAAAAUGGACCUUUUUCUCCUGCCAUUGGGGGGCGCUCUUUUGGGGAGUAAAAAUUCCUUCAAAAUUGUGUUGAUGGCUGGACAUUGCAUCAUCCUAGAAAACUUGGAGGCCAGUGAGGACAAAAGUAAAAAGUUAUAAGACUUUUAAGAAUGUGGAUUUUUGGGUUAUCUUUGGCGCCCCCUAGAACGUAAACCGUGGGGUGCAGCGUCAUGAUUUGUACAACUUUUAAUGGCCAUGGGGUGUAGAUUGGCCUGCGCAAAUGUGGUGCCGGUCGAACGAAAGCCUUCGGAGGAGUUAGCGAAAUUCCAAUGUGUGCAGAUCUGCAAAAAAUGAAAAAUAACCCUUUAACCGUACAUUUGACAGAUACGGCCGCACUGACUUUUUUGUAGAUCUUAUUGAGAUACACGUGUGUGUCAAUUUUUCUGUCAAUAUGACAAAGCGUACAGCCGUCAUGUGAAUUUUCACCUUAGGGGGCGCUAUGGAGCCAUUUUGCAUUUUAUUGUUUGGGCGACUUCAGAAUAUCGAAUUUUUCACCAGGCCCGGUCGUCCUGCCAAAUUUCCUGAGUUUUCGCCAGUGGGAAGUGGGCCAUUUUCCAGUUUAAAGCGGAGGAAAAAUAACUAGGGCCCCGUUGGGGCACUGGCGGGCCCGAGCCGUGUCGCGCCGCCCCCAGCGCGACCGCCUACCCCUCCCGAUCGCGUCACACUCAAGGUCCAAAGAUGGUGUGCGCACUUGUCUGUGGUCAUUUACCAUUAUAAUGAAUGGGAGGCGCAGUUUCUACCAAAACGCUCGCUGCAGACAAACUCCAUGUCCUUUUUGAAAAAAGUCUGGACCAUGAGUGAGGGCACAAACACAGCUAGUAUAUAUCCAAAUGGCAAGUUGCUCCUCCUUUCGGUUUUGCCGAGAGAGCGAUGCGUUUGAGCCAUUGAGCGAUGGGCAGGAAAAACUUGACUUUUUCUCCUGCCAUGGGGGGGCGCUCUUUUGGGGAGUAAAAAUUCCUUCACAAAUGUGUUGAUGGCUGGACAUUGCAUCAUCCUAGAAAACUUGGAGGCCAGUGAGGACAAAAAUAAAAAGUUAUAAGACUUUUAAAAAUGUGGAUAUUUGGGUCCUCUUUGGCGCCCCCUAGAACGUAAACUGUGGGGUGCAGCGUCAUGAUUUGUACAACUUUGAAUGGCCAUGGGGUGUAGAUUGACCUGAGCAAAUUUGAAGCCGAUGGGACAAAAGAUUUAGGAGGAGUUAGCCACAUUCCAAUGUGUGCGAAUCGGCAAAAAAUGCGAAAUAGCCCUUUAAUCGUACAUUGAACAGAUACGCUCGCAUUGACUUUUUCGUAGAUCUUAUUGAGAUACAUGUGUGUGUCAAUUUUUGUGUCAAUAUGACAAAGCGUAAAGGCGUGACAGUCAAUAGUGUGAAUUUUCGCCUUAGGAGACAAGAAAAAAUGGACUUUUUUCUCCUGCCAUGGGGGGGCGCUCUUUUGGCGAGUAAAAAUUCCUUCACAAAUGUGUUGAUGGCUGGACAUUGCAUCAUCCUAGAGAACUUGGAGGCCAGUGAGGACAAAAAUAAAAAGUUAUAAGACUUUUAAGACUGUGGAUUUUUGGGUUAUCUUUGGCGCCCCCUAGAACGUAAACCGUGGGGUGCAGCGUCAUGAUUUGUACAACUUUUAAUGGCCAUGGGGUGUAGAUUGGCCUGAGCAAAUGUGGUGCCGGUGGAACGAAAGCCUUCGGAGGAGUUAGCGAAAUUCCAAUGUGUGCGGAUCGGCAAAAAAUGCGAAAUAACCCUUUAACCGUACAUUUGACAGAUACGCCCGCACUGACUUUUUUGUAGAUCUUAUUGAGAUACAUGUGUGUGUCAAUUUUUGUGUCAAUAUUACAAAGCGUAAAGGCGUGACAGUCAAUAGUGUGAAUUUUCACCUUAGGGGGCGCUAUGGAGCCAUUUUGCAUUUUAUUGUUUGGGCGACUUCAGAAUAUCGAAUUUUUCACCAGGCCCAUUCGUCCUGCCAAAUUUCAUGAGUUUUCGCCAGUGGGAAGUGGGCCAUUUUCCCCUUCAAAGGGGAGGAAAAAUAAGAAGAAAGAAAGAAAGAACUAGGGCCCCGUUGGGGCACUGGCGGGCCCGAGCCGUGUCACGCCGCCCCCAGCGCGACCGCCUCCCCCACCCGAUCGCGUCACACUCAAGGUCCAAAGAUGGUGUGCGCACUUGUUUGUGGUCAUUUACCAUUAUAAUGAACGGGAGGCGCAGUUUCUACCAAAACGCUCGCUGCAGAAAAACUCCAUGUCCUAUUUGAAAAAAGUCUGGACCAUGAGUGAGGGCACAAACACAGCUAAGAUAUAUCCAAAUGGCAAGUUGCUCCUCCUUUCGCUUUUGCCGAGAGAGCAGUGCGUUUGAGCCAUUGAAUGAUGAACAGGAAAAACUUGACUUUAUUCUCCUGCCAUGGGGGGGCGCUCUUUUAAAGAGAAAAAACUCCUUCACAAAUGUGUUGAUGGCUGGACAUUGCAUCAUCCUAGAAAACAUGGAGGCCAGUGAGGACAAAAAUAAAAAGUUAUAAGACUUUUAAAUAUGUGGAUUUUAGGGUUAUAUUUGGCGCCCCCUAGAACCUAAACCGUGGGGUGCAGCGUCAUGAUUUGAAUAACUUUUAAUGGCCAUGGGGUGUAGAUUGGCCUGAGCAAAUGUGGUGCCGGUGGAACGAAAGC